UACGGGGGGGGCAAGCGUUGUUCGGAAUUACUGGGCGUAAAGGGCUCGUAGGCGGCCAACUAAGUCAGACGUGAAAUCCCUCGGCUUAACCGGGGAACUGCGUCUGAUACUGGAUGGCUGGAGUUUGGGAGAGGGAUGCGGAAUUCCAGGUGUAGCGGUGAAAUGCGUAGAUAUCUGGAGGAACACCGGUGGCGAAGGCGGCAUCCUGGACCAAUACUGACGCUGAGGGGCGAAAGCCAGGGGAGCAAACGGG
rnacentral:rRNA from 1 species